rnacentral:rRNA from 1 species
UACGGAAGGCAGCAGUGGGGAAUAUUGCACAAUGGGCGAAAGCCUGAUGCAGCUAUGCCGCGUGUAUGAAGAAGGCCUUAGGGUUGUAAAGUACUUUCAUCGGGGAGGAAAAACAAAACUAAUAAUUUUAUUUCUUGACGUUACCCGAAAAAGAAGCACCGGCUAACUCCGUGCCAGCAGCCGCGGUAAUACGGAGGGUGCUAGCGUUAAUCAGAAUUACUGGGCGUAAAGAGCACGUAGGUGGUUUUUUUAAGUCAGAUGUGAAAUCCCUGGGCUUAACCUGGAACUGCAUUUUGAAACUGAAAUACUAGAGUAUCGUAGAGGGAGGUAGAAUUCUAGGUGUAGCGGUGAAAUGCGUAGAUAUCUGGAGGAAUACCUGUGGCGAAAGCGGCCUCCUAAACGAAUACUGACACUGAGUGCGAAAGCGUGGGAAGCAAACAGGGAUUAGAUACC